rnacentral:rRNA from 1 species
GACGAACGCUGGCGGCGUGCCUAAUACAUGCAAGUCGAACGCUUCUUUCCUCCCGAGUGCUUGCACUCAAUUGGAAAGAGGAGUGGCGGACGGGUGAGUAACACGUGGGUAACCUACCCAUCAGAGGGGGAUAACACUUGGAAACAGGUGCUAAUACCGCAUAACAGUUUAUGCCGCAUGGCAUAAGAGUGAAAGGGGCUUUCGGGUGUCGCUGAUGGAUGGACCCGCGGUGCAUUAGCUAGGUGGUGAGGGAACGGCUCACCAAGGCCACGAUGCAUAGCCGACCUGAGAGGGUGAUCGGCCACACUGGGACUGAGACACGGCCCAGACUCCUACGGGAGGCAGCAGUAGGGAAUCUUCGGCAAUGGACGAAAGUCUGACCGAGCAACGCCGCGUGAGUGAAGAAGGUUUUCGGAUCGUAAAACUCUGUUGUUAGAGAAGAACAAGGACGUUAGUAACUGAACGUCUCCUGACGGUAUCUAACCAGAAAGCCACGGCUAACUACGUG